UGAUUUGCUUCAGCAUGGGGUCAGUGAUGCCAGCUUAAACUCCUUGAAAAGGAUCAUGUCUGCAUAGACUGUCUUCAAGAUUUUAUCCAAAAAUUUGCAAGACUGCAGAUUUUUCUUCUAGGAAAGUUCAGGUAGUG
rnacentral:lncRNA from 1 species